GAAAUGCUUAGAUAUCACGAAGAACUCCGAUUGCGAAGGCAGCUUGCUGGACUGUAACUGACGCUGAUGCUCGAAAGUGUGGGUAUCAAACAGGAUUAGAUACCCUGGUAGUCCACACAGUAAACGAUGAAUACUCGCUGUUUGCGAUAUACAGUAAGCGGCCAAGCGAAAGCGUUAAGUAUUCCACCUGGGGAGUACGCCGGCAACGGUGAAACUCAAAGGAAUUGACGGGGGCCCGCACAAGCGGAGGAACAUGUGGUUUAAUUCGAUGAUACGCGAGGAACCUUACCCGGGCUUGAAUUGCAACUGAAUGAUGUGGAGACAUGUCAGCCGCAAGGCAGUUGUGAAGGUGCUGCAUGGUUGUCGUCAGCUCGUGCCGUGAGGUGUCGGCUUAAGUGCCAUAACGAGCGCAACCCUUAUCGAUAGUUACCAUCAGGUUAUGCUGGGGACUCUGUCGAGACUGCCGUCGUAAGAUGUGAGGAAGGUGGGGAUGACGUCAAAUCAGCACGGCCCUUACGUCCGGGGCUACACACGUGUUACAAUGGGGGGUACAGAAGGCAGCUACACGGCGACGUGAUGCUAAUCCCUAAAGCCUCUCUCAGUUCGGAUUGGAGUCUGCAACCCGACUCCAUGAAGCUGGAUUCGCUAGUAAUCGCGCAUCAGCCACGGCGCGGUGAAUACGUUCCCGGGCCUUGUACACACCGCCCGUCAAGCCAUGAAAGCCGGGGGUACCUGAAGUGCGUAACCGCGAGGAGCGCCCUAGGGUAAAACUGGUGAUUGGGGCUAAGUCGUAACAAGGUAGCCGUACCGGAAGGUGCGGCUG
rnacentral:rRNA from 1 species